rnacentral:rRNA from 1 species
CCUACGGGUGGCAGCAGUGAGGAAUAUUGGUCAAUGGGCGGAAGCCUGAACCAGCCAAGUAGCGUGCAGGAUGGCGGCCCUACGGGUUGUAAACUGCUUUUAUACGGGAAUAACGCGCCUUACGUGUAGGGCUUUGCAUGUACCGUAUGAAUAAGGACCGGCUAAUUCCGUGCCAGCAGCCGCGGUAAGACGGAAGGUCCGGGCGUUAUCCGGAUUUAGUGGGUUUAAAGGGAGCGCAGGCCGCAUGUCAAGCCUGCUGUGAAAUGUCCGGGCUCAACCCGGGCCUUGCAGCGCGAACUGGCGGGCUUGAGUCUGCGAAAGGCAGGCAGAAUUCGAGGUGUAGCGGUGAAAUGCGUAGAGAUGACGAAGAACCCCGAUGGCGAAGGCAGCUUGCUGCAGGAGGACUGACGCUGAUGUUCGAAAGCGCGGGGAGCGAACAGGAUUAGAUACCCUUGUAGUC